UUUCCUCACCUGAAGAACUAUGGGUGAUACUAGUAUUUGAUUCAUAAGCAUGUUUGAGGAUGAAAUGUAUGAAUGCAUGGAGGACCUCUGGGGUUGGCAAGUGGCAUAAGGUCACCUUCUGGAAGAAUUCUUCACCCAAAUGUUCUGGUCAGGGAAGAGCACCUCCUGAUCUGAAAAUUGUUUCUUCAAGCCAUGUGAUUGAAAAGAGAGCAGACACGUUAUUUUUACAGCCCUGACACCCAGUCC
rnacentral:lncRNA from 13 species